rnacentral:sRNA from 1 species
GAGUAGAAGUGUGAGAGAGCCCAGCAGGACUCAGAGGGGAGAGUUGGAGGAAAAAAAAAGGCAGAAAAGGGAAAGAAAGAGGAAGAGAGAGAGAGAGUGAGAGGAGCCGCUGAGCCCACCCCGAUGGCCGCGGACGAAGUUGCCGGAGGGGCGCGCAAAGCCACGAAAAGCAAACUUUUUGAGUUUCUGGUCCAUGGGGUGCGCCCCGGGAUGCCGUCUGGAGCCCGGAUGCCCCACCAGGGGGCGCCCAUGGGCCCCCCGGGCUCCCCGUACAUGGGCAGCCCCGCCGUGCGACCCGGCCUGGCCCCCGCGGGCAUGGAGCCCGCCCGCAAGCGAGCAGCGCCCCCGCCCGGGCAGAGCCAGACACAGAGCCAGGGCCAGCCGGUGCCCACCGCCCCCGCGCGGAGCCGCAGUGCCAAGAGGAGGAAGAUGGCUGACAAAAUCCUCCCUCAAAGGAUUCGGGAGCUGGUCCCCGAGUCCCAGGCUUACAUGGACCUCUUGGCGUUUGAGAGGAAACUGGAUCAAACCAUCAUGCGGAAGCGGGUGGACAUCCAGGAGGCUUUGAAGAGGCCCAUGAAGCAAAAGCGGAAGCUGCGACUCUAUAUCUCCAACACUUUUAACCCUGCGAAGCCUGAUGCUGAGGAUUCCGAUGGCAGCAUUGCUUCCUGGGAGCUACGGGUGGAGGGGAAGCUCCUGGAUGAUCCCAGCAAACAGAAGCGGAAGUUCUCUUCUUUCUUCAAGAGUUUGGUCAUCGAGCUGGACAAAGAUCUUUAUGGCCCUGACAACCACCUCGUUGAGUGGCAUCGGACACCCACGACCCAAGAGACGGAUGGCUUCCAGGUGAAACGGCCUGGGGACCUGAGUGUGCGCUGCACGCUGCUCCUCAUGCUGGACUACCAGCCUCCCCAGUUCAAACUGGAUCCCCGCCUAGCCCGGCUGCUGGGGUUGCACACACAGAGCCGCUCAGCCAUCGUCCAGGCCCUGUGGCAGUAUGUGAAGACCAACAGACUGCAGGACUCCCAUGACAAGGAAUAUAUCAAUGGGGACAAGUAUUUCCAGCAGGUAACCUCUCUCCUGAACCCUGGGAUCUGGGGAGCAGGCAGAAUUCUCCAGCAGGGGAAGUACCUCUACCAAGGUAACUACCACCCCUCCCUUCUAGAUCCCUGAGUAGCAGAAGCAGUACACAGUCAUGGUCUUGGAGCCAAGAGACCGACCAGGAUUCUAGUUCAGGCCCUACUAUGGAUUAGCUCUGUGCUGCAGCCAAUCCCUGUUAGCCCCCCCAAGUUAGGAAGACCUGGAAACCCUACAAAGCCAACCGCUUUCUGGAAUGUAAUAUUCUUGGCACUUGGAGUUAGGAUCCCCAGGUUCUAGUCCUGAGUCUGGACUCUGGGUAAGUGACUCAGCGAUUCUGAACCUUGUUUCCUUAUCUUUGAAGUGGAGUGACAAUACCUGUCCUAUCUACUCUCCUGGGCAGUUAGGAAAAUCAAAUUGCUGCAAAAGUGAUCGAGCAAAAUUCCACCAAAACAGAGAAUAUUCUUAUUAAUGCAUUUAAAAAUAAAUACGGCAGAUAAACCUGAGGAGUAAAAAUAGCAGUUGAUAUUUAUUGGGCACUUACCAUGUGCCAGGCACUGUCCCAAGCACUUUAUGUAUAUUA